rnacentral:misc_RNA from 1 species
GAUGAAGAACGUAGCGAAAUGCGAUACGUAAUGUGAAUUGCAGAAUUCAGUGAAUCAUCGAAUCUUUGAACGCACAUUGCGCCCGCCAGCACUCUGGCGGGCAUGCCUGUUCGAGCGUCAUUUCAACCAUCAAGCCCCAGGCUUGCGUUGGAGCCCUGCGGCUGCGGCAGCCUCCUAAAAGCAGUGGCGGGCUCGCUAUCACACCGAGUGCAGUAGAUUACUCUUCGCUCAGGGCGUGCAGCGGGUUCCGGCCGUGAAACCCCCUACUUUUAAAGGUUGACCUCGGAUCAGGUAGGAAUACCCGCUGAACUUAAGCAUAUCAAUAAGCGGAGGA